rnacentral:misc_RNA from 1 species
AAGUCGUAACAAGGUUUCCGUAGGUGAACCUGCGGAAGGAUCAUUCAUAAUAAGUGUUUUAUGGCACUUUUUUAAAUCCAUAUCCACCUUGUGUGCAAUGUCAGGGUUGAUUUCUUUCGAGAGAUCAGCCCCAAACAUCAACUAUUAUCUCAACUCUUUGUCUGAAAAAUAUUAUGAAUAAAACAAUUCAAAAUACAACUUUCAACAACGGAUCUCUUGGCUCUC